ensembl:lncRNA
GGCCCCUUUAAAUUGGGGGGGGUCCCAUUAAAUUGGGUUGGGUCCCUUUAAUUGGGGGGGGUCCCAUUAAAUUGGGUUGUGUCCCUUUAAAUUGGGGGGGGUCCCAUUAAAUUGGGUUGUGUCCCUUUAAAUUGGGGGGGUCCCAUUAAAUUGGGUUGUGUCCCUUUAAAUUGGGGGGGUCUCUGUGCCCCCCCCCCUCACCAACGCAUCGAGCCGGGCCCCGAAACCGCUCCCGACGGGGUCGAACUCAAACGCGCAUGCGCCGGCGGGAGGGGGAGCAGCCAGUAACCAUAGAGUCGCGAAGAGCGGCGGGAUCACCUGGAGGACCUCGGGGGAGGGGGAGGGGAGGGGGUUAGUGACGUCAUGAUGACGUCAUCACGGUUAGAUAGUUAUUUGGGGGGGGGGAGAGACCCCUCACUUACGUGCAGCGCUCCGGGGGGGGCCAUAGAGUGGGGAGGGGGAGGGGCUUAAAGGGGCGGGAUAGAGCGCCCACCCGGAAGCGGAAGUGUGAGAGACGUUAAGAGCGCCCCCACGCGGCGAGGAGGACAAGGAGACGCAGCCAAUCAGAACGAAGGGGCGGGGUUUAAUAGAAAAAGGGGCGUGGUUUAAUAGAAAAGGGGGCGUGGUUUAAUAGAAAAAGGGGCGUGGUUUAAUGGAACGUGAGAUUUGAUUCGCUACUAGAGGGGGCGUGUCCGUAUGUAAAUAAGGGCAGCGGCGCCGCGUGCAGCGCAGUUCCAGCUCGUAGUGGGCGCCGGGGGGGGGCUCCGAAUCCACUUCAGGACCCCCCAAUAGCCCCCAAUGGGGGACCCAGAGGCGGGGGGGGCGCCACGAGGGGGCAGACAGCGAGGCCUAUGGGGGAUGGGGGUGUUAGGGGUAAUAUAGGGGCUGGGAGACCCCUCAGUGUCCUUAAUGUCCCCCCACCCACCCCCAUAGACCCCCAGGUUCUUAGUCCCCCCCCCACCCCAUAGACCCCCCUCCUGUGUCCUCUAUACCCCCCAUAGACCCCUAUGUGUCUUUAAUGCCCCCCAAAUGACCCCUAUGUGUCCUCUAUACCCCCCAUAGACCCCUAUGUGUUCUCUUAACCCCCUCAUGACCUCUAUGUGUCCUCUAUACCCCCCAUAGGACCCUUAUGUGUCUCUAUACCCCCCCAUAGACCCCUAUGUGUCCUCUAUACCCCCCCAUAGACCCCUAUGUGUCCUCUAUACCCCCCCCAUAGACCCCUAUGUGUCCUCUAUACCCCCCCAUAGACCUCUAUGUGUUCUCUAUACCCCCCCAUAGACCCCUAUGUGUCCUCUAUACCCCCCCCAUAGACCCUAUGUGUCCUCUAUACCCCCCCAUAGACCCCUAUGUGUUCUCUAUACCCCCAUAGACCCCUAUGUGUUCUCUAUACCCCCCCAUAGAGACCUCUAUGAGUCCUCUAUACCCCCAUAGACCCCUAUGUGUCCUCUAUACCCCCCAUAGACCCCUAUGUGUCCUCUAUACCCCCCAUAGACCCCUAUGUGUCCUCUAUACCCCCCCAUAGACCCCUAUGUGUUCUCUAUACCCCCCCAUAGACCUCUAUGUGUCCUCUAUACCCCCCAUAGAACCUCUACGUGUCCUCUAUACCCCCAUAGACCCCUAUGUGUCCUCUAUACCCCCCAUAGACC